rnacentral:rRNA from 1 species
UGCGUAGGUGGCAGAUCAAGUCUGGAGUAAAAGGUAUGGGCUCAACCCGUACUGGUUCUGGAAACUGAUCAGCUAGAGAACAGAAGAGGACGGCGGAACUCCAUGUGUAGCGGUAAAAUGCGUAGAUAUAUGGAAGAACACCGGUGGCGAAGGCGGCCGUCUGGUCUGGAUUCUGACACUGAAGCACGAAAGCGUGGGGAGCAAAUA